UGCCCCAUUAGCUAGUUGGCGGUGUAAUAGACCACCAAGGGCGAUGAUGGGUAGCUGGUGUGAGAGCACGACCAGCCUCACUGGCACUGAGACACUGGGCCAGACACCUACGGGUGGCUGCAGUCGAGAAUCUUCGGCAAUGGACGAAAGUCUGACCGAGCGACGCCGCGUGCGGGACGAAGGCCUUCGGGUUGUAAACCGCUGUCGAGGGGGAUUAAGGGCAACUUGAAAGAACCCUGGAGGAAGGAGAGGCUAAGCUCGUGCCAGCAGCCGCGGUAAGACGAGCUCUCCAAACGUUAUUCGGUAUCACUGGGCUUAAAGAGUUCGUAGGCGGCUUUACAGGUGGGGUGUGAAAGCCCUCGGCUCAACCGAGGAAUUGCGCCCCAAACCGUAAGGCUUGAGGGAUAUAGGGGUAAGCGGAACAGAUGGUGGAGCGGUGAAAUGCAUUGAUAUCAUCUGGAACACCGGUGGCGAAGGCGGCUUACUGGAUAUUUUCUGACGCUGAGGAAC
rnacentral:rRNA from 1 species